AGAGGCGCGCCAGCAACUACUGCGACCGGUUGUCCACCCUCCGGGUCUUUUUUCCUCUAUUUGACAUUACGUGUCCAUCUAGUGUAUAUAUAUACAUACUCGCACAGAGGGAGGUGAGCCGCGGCGCCAGGCGAGAAGGACCGUCAACGGCGAUCGGUACACCGGCAGCGUCAUCCCUCCGGCGUCAGAGAAGUAUAGCCGAGAGAUAUCGGCGAGGUGGUAAUUAUCCCAAAACACAUUUCCCCCCCCCCAUGUCCCCCUCGUAAAUGGACACAAUUAAAGAGUCUAUCCUCAACUGCUCUAAGUAUACGAUCGCUUCGACACGGCGGUUUGUAUGUACGACUCGUUGACGAUUAAAUCGAAGACGCGACCUCGGGGAAUACGGUGACGCGAGCAAAGAGUGUUUAUUUUAUUGUAACCUCGGGUGCAGUGGGCCAGUGGCCGGUAUCUUGUGAAUUCGUGGUCAGUAGUGGUAUCGAGAGUGCAGGGAGCCCCAGUGAAACAUUGUGCGCCCCGUGACGUAGGACUGCGAGGCGAGCACUAGCGUAGCUCGCGUGGCCGGGGAUCAAGGCGCCGACGGAAGGGGCCCCCCCCCCCGAUCGGUUUAAGCGCCACUUGUUGCACGCGCCGUACGUGCCCUCCGGGAUGUACAUUUGUCGAAAUAUUUAUCCUAUACGAUCGAUACGUCAUUGCUGGACGGUGGCUUUUUAUUUUUGCGUUGUUCGUUGUAACGAUCGAGCUUUUUUCGCAAAGUGCAAAGAAAAAAAAAAAAAAAAAAUUUUAAUCCCAUCUGAAGGUCGCACUGGUUUCCCCAAAAGUAUCGGUGUUGAACAUAAAUUGGGUAUGGCAUGAAACAGAAUUGAAAAAUCGUUUCUUCCUCGGUCGGGUGUUCGUUACUUUGUCCAAAUUGUCUGUUUUACAGGGCGAUUCUUUUGCAGUUGGAGGCGUGUUUCAUGCAAUAUCCCGGGAAGUAGGGUAAAAGCCUUCGGAAGUGAACCAAUAGUGCCAAUAAUCGUAAAUAAACGGCUCGGCGGUAUAGCCCAUAACGUUCGAUUAAUCCGCGCAGCGGAGCCGCCGUAUGGGUACGUUGCGGAAGUUUGCGCCGUCGCACGCAAUAGCCGCGAAAAAAAAAAAAAAAAAAAAAAACACGUUUCCGCGAGUCUUCCUCGAGAUCGACGUUGCUCGAUUCAUUCGUCUGGCCGAGUCUUGCCGUCAGCUCGAGUGCAAAGGUCUAUUUGUGCGUCAUAUAUAACCAAAGGUAUGAAAUUUACAUGCGUGUGUCUCUUACGCAAAAGAAAAAGAAAAUUAAAUAAAUCCUUGUAAAACGACUAAACCAAGUGACGGAUUAUUAUCAUUACAACGUAUUCGUUAUGUAUCAAUCAAUGAAAUAACGAAAGAAAUCUGUUUACACAUGAGGUUAUUGACGAGAUCUAAUUAUAACGAGUGAACAAAGAAAGAAAUAGUAUAUCAUACGAUUGACAAAAGUUGAAAAAUUGUAAAAAGAGCAAAAAAUAUUAGGUAUGCAGUAUUGAUUCUUCGCACAUUUGACCCUCUUCUUGGGGUGUUAGAAAAAUGUAGAAAAAGAAGGGGAGAAGAAAGAAAAAAGAAAAGAAAAAAAAUAAUGGGAAGAGAAAAAUCGGUGUAGGCAGGGAUUUAGUCGAAGAGAGGCAAGAA